AGUGUACAGCGGCGGCUGGGGCGGCAGGUGAGGCGGCUGGGGCGUUGCUGUCGUGCGUCCGCAGGCGUCAGGUGCUCAGACCCGAGGGCCGGGAAGGGAUUUGGGUUUCACAGGAACCUGGGGCGGGGGUCCGCUAUCUUGGGGCUGUCGGGACCGCUGCUUAAAUUUGGCCCAGUCCAGACCUCGAGUCGGGCCCCCAGCCAGGCCCACGCCCAGGUCCAGGCCCAGGCCGGUAGGGAUCCUCUAGGGUCCCAGCUCGCCUCGAUGGAGCUCCUCCCGCCGCUGCCUCAGUCCUUCCUGUUGCUGCUGCUGUUGCCUGCCAAGCCCGCGGCGGGCGAGGACUGGCAGUGCCCGCGCACCCCCUACGCGGCCUCUCGCGACUUUGACGUGAAGUACGUGGUGCCCAGCUUCUCCGCCGGAGGCCUGGUACAGGCCAUGGUGACCUACGAGGGCGACAGAAAUGAGAGUGCUGUGUUUGUAGCCAUACGCAAUCGCCUGCAUGUGCUUGGGCCUGACCUGAAGUCUGUCCAGAGCCUGGCCACGGGCCCUGCUGGAGACCCUGGCUGCCAGACGUGUGCAGCCUGUGGCCCAGGACCCCACGGCCCUCCCGGUGACACAGACACAAAGGUGCUGGUGCUGGAUCCCGCGCUGCCUGCGCUGGUCAGUUGUGGCUCCAGCCUGCAGGGCCGCUGCUUCCUGCAUGACCUAGAGCCCCAAGGGACAGCCGUGCAUCUGGCAGCGCCAGCCUGCCUCUUCUCAGCCCACCAUAACCGGCCCGAUGACUGCCCCGACUGUGUGGCCAGCCCAUUGGGCACCCGUGUAACUGUGGUUGAGCAAGGCCAGGCCUCCUAUUUCUACGUGGCAUCCUCACUGGACGCAGCCGUGGCUGCCAGCUUCAGCCCACGCUCAGUGUCUAUCAGGCGUCUCAAGGCUGACGCCUCGGGAUUCGCACCGGGCUUUGUGGCGUUGUCAGUGCUGCCCAAGCAUCUUGUCUCCUACAGUAUUGAAUACGUGCACAGCUUCCACACGGGAGCCUUCGUAUACUUCCUGACUGUACAGCCGGCCAGCGUGACAGAUGAUCCUAGUGCCCUGCACACACGCCUGGCACGGCUUAGCGCCACUGAGCCAGAGUUGGGUGACUAUCGGGAGCUGGUCCUCGACUGCAGAUUUGCUCCAAAACGCAGGCGCCGGGGGGCCCCAGAAGGCGGACAGCCCUACCCUGUGCUGCGGGUGGCCCACUCCGCUCCAGUGGGUGCCCAACUUGCCACUGAGCUGAGCAUCGCCGAGGGCCAGGAAGUACUAUUUGGGGUCUUUGUGACUGGCAAGGAUGGUGGUCCUGGCGUGGGCCCCAACUCUGUCGUCUGUGCCUUCCCCAUUGACCUGCUGGACACACUAAUUGAUGAGGGUGUGGAGCGCUGUUGUGAAUCCCCAGUCCAUCCAGGCCUCCGGCGAGGCCUCGACUUCUUCCAGUCGCCCAGUUUUUGCCCCAACCCGCCUGGCCUGGAAGCCCUCAGCCCCAACACCAGCUGCCGCCACUUCCCUCUGCUGGUCAGUAGCAGCUUCUCACGUGUGGACCUAUUCAAUGGGCUGUUGGGACCAGUACAGGUCACUGCAUUGUAUGUGACACGCCUUGACAACGUCACAGUGGCACACAUGGGCACAAUGGAUGGGCGUAUCCUGCAGGUGGAGCUGGUCAGGUCACUAAACUACUUGCUGUAUGUGUCCAACUUCUCACUGGGUGACAGUGGGCAGCCCGUGCAGCGGGAUGUCAGUCGUCUUGGGGACCACCUACUCUUUGCCUCUGGGGACCAGGUUUUCCAGGUACCUAUCCAAGGCCCUGGCUGCCGCCACUUCCUGACCUGUGGGCGUUGCCUAAGGGCAUGGCAUUUCAUGGGCUGUGGCUGGUGUGGGAACAUGUGCGGCCAGCAGAAGGAGUGUCCUGGCUCCUGGCAACAGGACCACUGCCCACCUAAGCUUACUGAGUUCCACCCCCACAGUGGACCUCUAAGGGGCAGUACAAGGCUGACCCUGUGUGGCUCCAACUUCUACCUUCACCCUUCUGGUCUGGUGCCUGAGGGAACCCAUCAGGUCACUGUGGGCCAAAGUCCCUGCCGGCCACUGCCCAAGGACAGCUCAAAACUCAGACCAGUGCCCCGGAAAGACUUUGUAGAGGAGUUUGAGUGUGAACUGGAGCCCUUGGGCACCCAGGCAGUGGGGCCUACCAACGUCAGCCUCACCGUGACUAACAUGCCACCGGGCAAGCACUUCCGGGUAGACGGCACCUCCGUGCUGAGAGGCUUCUCUUUCAUGGAGCCAGUGCUGAUAGCAGUGCAACCCCUCUUUGGCCCACGGGCAGGAGGCACCUGUCUCACUCUUGAAGGCCAGAGUCUGUCUGUAGGCACCAGCCGGGCUGUGCUGGUCAAUGGGACUGAGUGUCUGCUAGCACGGGUCAGUGAGGGGCAGCUUUUAUGUGCCACACCCCCUGGGGCCACGGUGGCCAGUGUCCCCCUUAGCCUGCAGGUGGGGGGUGCCCAGGUACCUGGUUCCUGGACCUUCCAGUACAGAGAAGACCCUGUCGUGCUAAGCAUCAGCCCCAACUGUGGCUACAUCAACUCCCACAUCACCAUCUGUGGCCAGCAUCUAACUUCAGCAUGGCACUUAGUGCUGUCAUUCCAUGACGGGCUUAGGGCAGUGGAAAGCAGGCAGUGUGAGAGGCAGCUUCCAGAGCAGCAGCUGUGCCGCCUUCCUGAAUAUGUGGUCCGAGACCCCCAGGGAUGGGUGGCAGGGAAUCUGAGUGCCCGAGGGGAUGGAGCUGCUGGCUUUACACUGCCUGGCUUUCGCUUCCUACCCCCACCCCAUCCACCCAGUGCCAACCUAGUUCCACUGAAGCCUGAGGAGCAUGCCAUUAAGUUUGAGUAUAUUGGGCUGGGCGCUGUGGCUGACUGUGUGGGUAUCAACGUGACCGUGGGUGGUGAGAGCUGCCAGCACGAGUUCCGGGGGGACAUGGUUGUCUGCCCCCUGCCCCCAUCCCUGCAGCUUGGCCAGGAUGGUGCCCCAUUGCAGGUCUGCGUAGAUGGUGAAUGUCAUAUCCUGGGUAGAGUGGUGCGGCCAGGGCCAGAUGGGGUCCCACAGAGCACGCUCCUUGGUAUCCUGCUGCCUUUGCUGCUGCUUGUGGCUGCACUGGCGACUGCACUGGUCUUCAGCUACUGGUGGCGGAGGAAGCAGCUAGUUCUUCCUCCCAACCUGAAUGACCUGGCAUCCCUGGACCAGACUGCUGGAGCCACACCCCUGCCUAUUCUGUACUCGGGCUCUGACUACAGAAGUGGCCUUGCACUCCCUGCCAUUGAUGGUCUGGAUUCCACCACUUGUGUCCAUGGAGCAUCCUUCUCCGAUAGUGAAGAUGAAUCCUGUGUGCCACUGCUGCGGAAAGAGUCCAUCCAGCUAAGGGACCUGGACUCUGCGCUCUUGGCUGAGGUCAAGGAUGUGCUGAUUCCCCAUGAGCGGGUGGUCACCCACAGUGACCGAGUCAUUGGCAAAGGCCACUUUGGAGUUGUCUACCACGGAGAAUACAUAGACCAGGCCCAGAAUCGAAUCCAAUGUGCCAUCAAGUCACUAAGUCGCAUCACAGAGAUGCAGCAGGUGGAGGCCUUCCUGCGAGAGGGGCUGCUCAUGCGUGGCCUGAACCACCCGAAUGUGCUGGCUCUCAUUGGUAUCAUGUUGCCACCUGAGGGCCUGCCCCAUGUGCUGCUGCCCUAUAUGUGCCACGGUGACCUGCUCCAGUUCAUCCGCUCACCUCAGCGGAACCCCACCGUGAAGGACCUCAUCAGCUUUGGCCUGCAGGUAGCCCGCGGCAUGGAGUACCUGGCAGAGCAGAAGUUUGUGCACAGGGACCUGGCUGCGCGGAACUGCAUGCUGGACGAGUCAUUCACAGUCAAGGUGGCUGACUUUGGUUUGGCCCGCGACAUCCUGGACAGGGAGUACUAUAGUGUUCAACAGCAUCGCCACGCUCGCCUACCUGUGAAGUGGAUGGCGCUGGAGAGCCUGCAGACCUAUAGAUUUACCACCAAGUCUGAUGUGUGGUCAUUUGGUGUGCUGCUGUGGGAACUGCUGACACGGGGUGCCCCACCAUACCGCCACAUUGACCCUUUUGACCUUACCCACUUCCUGGCCCAGGGUCGGCGCCUGCCCCAGCCUGAGUAUUGCCCUGAUUCUCUGAAAGGGACUCUCGCUGGGCCUCAAUUUCCUCAUCUGUGAACUGGUCCCACCCUCAUGCAGAGUAGGACCCUGGGAGGACCUCACAGUUGCCAUGGUACCAAGUGAUGCAGCAAUGCUGGGAGGCAGACCCAGCAGUGCGACCCACCUUCAGAGUACUAGUGGGGGAGGUGGAGCAGAUAGUGUCUGCACUGCUUGGGGACCAUUAUGUGCAGCUGCCAGCAACCUACAUGAACUUGGGCCCCAGCACCUCGCAUGAGAUGAAUGUGCGUCCAGAACAGCCGCAGUUCUCACCCAUGCCAGGGAAUGUACGCCGGCCCCGGCCACUCUCAGAGCCUCCUCGGCCCACUUGACUUAGUUCUUGGGCUGGACCUGCUUAGCUGCCUUGAGCUAACCCCAAGCUGCCUCUGGGCCAUGCCAGGCCAGAGGGCAGUGGCCCUCCACCUUGUUCCUGCCCUUUAACUUUCAGAGGCAAUAGGUAAAUGGGGCCCAUUAGGUCCCUCACUCCACAGAGUGAGCCAGUGAGGGCAGUCCUGCAACAUGUAUUUAUGGAGUGCCUGCUGUGGACCCUGUCUUCUGGGCACAGUGGACUCAGCAGUGACCACACCAACACUGACCCUUGAACCAAUAAAGGAACAAAUGACUAUUAAAGCACAAA